GAAAACAAUGGAUUUGGCCAUAUCUCUUUUUCUCCAUGUAUCACUUCAGUCUGAGCAAUGCCACAAAUAAGAAAAAAACACAAAUAUACUUUUUCUUUUUCCAUUCAAAAAUCUAUUAUUAUAAAAAAAUCUUUGUCUCCCUCCUGUUGCGCCACAUCAGCGCCAGGUUAGAAAGUCGCUCAUCCUCAAGACGACACGUGUCGCUGUUUUCAAAACACUUCAUUUAAAAUUGAUACUGAGUUAAUGAUAUUUGGGCCCGAAAUCCAGAAAAAAUUAGGCCCAUAAUGCCUUCAUCUUCUUCCCGACAUACAAUUUUAGGGUUAAUCGGCUCUAGGACUCUAGGAUUCUGUAUACAAACGAUGGCGGUUCUGAUAUUGCCUAAGACUCGAUGAUUCAUCGUCGGACUCUGAUCAUGUCGUUUUAGUCUCCCUGAUUCACCUCAAAACCGUUACAAGUCGCAUUGAUUCAAAUCAUUAACCAAAACUUAACUCUUCCUGCCCAUUACAACCACGAUCUCGAAUUCAAUGAAUUUAUCCAUCUUGCAGGCGGCGAUUCUCCCCUAUAAAAAGGCUGACUGUUGUUCUUCUAAGGUGGAGGUGUGGCUGGCUGCUGUAGAGUUUUCAAAUAUGGUUUACAAAUUUUUAUUUGUAAUCUGGUUAUAUUAAGGGACGUUAAGAGGGGGAAAUCUGCGAGAGGUUGGGGAAUCUUGCCAUUGAUGAGUAUUGUAGCUCGAAGAAUCACACGAAAAUGAAGAUUUUUUUAAUCAAAGAAAUGGACAUGAGGAGAUGCAAGAGGAAGAACAUGAAGAGACUGGGAGGCGGUGGUCUUUCUCUCCACAUUUUUGCUAACUUGAAAGUCAAAUAACAGUCACAAAAAUGCUUUCAUAAGAGACUCUUACUACAUAGUUGUUAGCUACUCUUUUCUGAUGCGAGAAUUGGGAGGAACCCUUGCUUUAAGAUGAUGAUAUGAUUGCUACAGUGUGUAUGUAGUAAUUUGUUAUGUAUAUAUUAUGUGUAUGUAGUAUGUAAGAUGAUUAGAAGAAAGUAGAGCAUAUCCUAAUUAGUCAGUGACUAUGUCAAUGGUGUUAAGAAUUAGAAGAAGACUAUUUUGGAGCUCUUAUGAUGAGAUUCAGACUAAGCUUGAAGUAAAGAUUGAAUGAGUUUUGUUUCUUUUGCGAUGAUC